UCUCCUUCCGAGAUGACCAAACAAUUCUCUGCUUGCAAUUGGGUUCCGUCCCGGAUCACGGAAACACAAAUCAAUGGAUAUGUCACCACUAGCGCUUUAGCCUCAAAAAGGGUCCUUCAUUGGCGAGUUCCGGACUUUGAAUGUCCACCUGAACCUCAAGAUGGAGAAGUGAUUGUAUUUAUGCAACACUUGGACCGGGGAUUCAGCCCGCCCGGAUCAAAAAAAUUCCAGGAUGUCCUCGCAAGUUUCCAACUCCAUCCACAAGAUAUUGGACCGAACUCUGUGUCCAAUAUAUGCAACUUUCAAGUAUUCUGCGAAGUCUACCUUCAAGAAGAGCCAUCCGUGGAGUUGUUCCAGGAUUUCUUUCAUCUGAACCGCCGUACAGAAUUCUCGGAUGGUUGCAACACAGAGCUUGGUGGCGUUUCAAUUCAGAAAAGGAAAGAAGUUGACUUCCCUCAUGCAAAACAUCAU
rnacentral:rRNA from 1 species